GGCCGGCUGGCCCAAUGGCAAGGCGCUUGACUACGAUUUGCUCGAAAUCAAGAGAUUGCAGGUUCGAUCCCUGCGUCGGUCA
rnacentral:tRNA from 1 species